rnacentral:lncRNA from 1 species
UUUUGUCGAGUUUUAGUGUUUAAUGUGGCCAUCGAAUGGGAACAAAGGUAAAGGCAGAGUGCCUCUUGCAGUGGCAUGUUAGGUCUAACGAAAUUAGUUGUGUUUUGUCAUAAGACUCGCAUUGAACCAAUUAAAAACGCCUUCAACUGGGUAAAAAAGUGGAAUAUAUUCUCUCCAGUGGAAACAAGUCCAUAUAUUCCAGAUGUGUUGCACGGAUAUUUCCUUAUUCGAGUUGUUGCAGUUGAAUCUGAUCAAUCGAAAGCUUUGUACUGUGCCCCAUUGCCUCGGAAUUUGCGAUAUUCUUGCCAGAUUCAGGAUUUCAGGCAGCCUUUCGUAUGAGACACUGCUGUUCGAGCUCUGACCUGAAUCGAGUGCGAGUCAUAGUCAAAGUCUCAGUCCAAUCACAAGUCGAGAGAGGAGUCAAUAGGUUUUGCAGAACACAAAUAGGGCGUCUAUGCCCAUACAUACUGUACUCUCAGCUUCAAAUGGGUGAGUUUGCACUGGCUUCAGCAUGCCUCAUAGGAAAUGAUAAAUGAUAAGAGUAUGGGCAGCGUGACUAGGAAAUCUUAGAAAAGCACCAAAAAU